AAGGCUUCAAAAAGAUCAAGGCGUUGUCGUUCUUAGUGUCUUUGACUGGCACUACCAUUGAUAUACCAGAUUCCGAGUAAGGCAUCGCAAAGUCAACAUAGUUGGACCUGUUGGCCAGAAUUGUCACAUCUCCCACAACAGCAUCAAAUUUCCCCAAGUAGACUUGAUAGAUUAAAUCGUUGUAAGUUCCAGCACUCUCCCCUUCAGAAUUGACAAAGGGGACGUAAUCAUAAGAAACGUCAUAUGGUAAUCGAUCCAUUACUGCAUUAAAAACGUCUAUGCAGUAUCCUGUUACCUUUGUAGCAUUAGUCUUAGG
rnacentral:misc_RNA from 1 species